rnacentral:pre_miRNA from 1 species
UUAACUCAAAUUUGUAUGCAGUUGGAACAGCGUCCCUAGCGGCAAACGUUCCAACUCCAUGCAAAUAUGAGUUA